AUGCGUCGUACAAUCAAUCUUUUGCUCGCUCUCAUCAGCAUAAGCAUCUUUUCGUUCUUCACAAAUGAUGCACUACAACCCCAGCAUCCGCAUGCCCAUGGGGGUGGCUGCAUCCCGGCCGAGAGGGCCGCCUUGCUCUCCUUCAAAAAGGGCAUUACAAGCGACAGCGCCAACCUCCUCACCUCAUGGGACGGCCAAGAUUGCUGCCGGUGGAGAGGCAUCGGUUGCAACAAUCGAACUGGCCAUGUCGUCAAGCUUCACCUUCGUAGUACUAUUGUGGAGGACAACCCCUGGGGCUACUAUGAUCCAUGUGAACAUGACAAUUCUUUGUUCGGCGAGAUAAGUCCCUCUCUACUUUCCUUGAAGCAUCUAGAGCACCUGGACCUUAGCAUGAACUGUUUACCAGGGCCAAAUAGCAAAAUUCUUAAUUUACUGGGCUCCAUGAUAAACUUGAGAUACCUUGACCUCUCUGGUAUACCAUUUACCGGUAGAGUGCCUUCUCAGCUAGGAAAUCUGUCUAAGUUGCAGUAUCUUGACCUUGCCCAAACUGGUAAUUCUAUGAUGUACUCAACGGACAUCAACUGGCUGGCGAAGCUACCUUUCCUGCAGUUCCUUAGCAUGAGCGGAGUCCAGCUCUCAGGGAUACCUGACUGGCCUCAUACCCUCAAUAUGAUUCCACCUCUGAGGGUUAUUCAUCUUUCUUCCUGUUCACUUGAUAGUGCAAACCAAUCACUUCUGCACCUUAAUCUCACAAAACUUGAGAAGCUUGACCUGUCCUCAAAUGAUUUUGAGCACUCACUCACAUCUGGUUGGUUUUGGAAAGCAACAAGCUUGAAGUACCUCGAUCUUGGGGAGAACAGAUUUUUCGGGCAGCUCCCUGACACACUAGGAAACAUGACGUACCUUCAAGUCCUUGAUAUUUCACGCAAUGAGAACAAGAACAUGAUGAUGACAGGAUACUAUAAGAAUCUUUGCAGUUUGGAAAUCCUUGACCUCUCUGUUAAUAGCAUAAAUGGAGACAUAGCAGUGCUGAUGAAGAGUUUGCCGCAAUGCACAUGGAAAAAAUUGCAGGAGCUGGAUUUUAGUAUCAACAAUUUCACUGGAACUCUGCCAGACUUUAUUAGUGAGUUCACUAGGUUGAGCAUACUAUACCUCUAUUCAAACAACCUUGUUGGAACUAUACCACCACAGAUUGGGAAUAUGACAGGUCUAACCUCCCUUGCACUCUAUAACAAUCAGCUCACCGGAAGUAUACCAGCCAAUCUUGGGAAAUUGAUGUAUAUGACUGAACUUCUCCUCUCAAGCAAUCUUCUCAGUGGAACUGUACCCACUGAAAUAGGUUCUCUUAUUAAUCUGAAUUCUCUGGCCCUAAGGGAAAAUAACUUUACUGGAGUGAUCACGGAAGAACACUUCGCAAAUCUAACAAGUUUAAGGGCAAUAGACAUCUCUUCCAACAAUUUGAAGAUUGUACUGAGUUCCGAUUGGCGUCCUCCCGUUACUCUGAAGUAUGCAUCAUUUGGAUCUUGCCAGAUGGGUCCUCUGUUUCCACCUUGGCUUCAGCAGCUGAAAACCACUGGGCUUGACAUUUCAAGCAACGGUUUGAAGGACGAGUUUCCUGAUUGGUUUUGGUCUGCAUUUUCACAUGCCACAUCACUGGAUAUCUCUAACAACCAAAUAAGUGGCAGCUUGCCAGCAGAUCUGGAUCGCAUGGCUUUUAAGAAACUCGUUCUCAAUUCAAACCGGUUUACUGGCCCAAUACCUGCAUUGCCAAAUAAUAUCACAUGGUUAGACAUCUCCAACAAUAAAUUUUCAGAAACAAUACCAUCAAACCUUGGAGCCUCACUACUUGAAGUAUUGUCUGUGCAUUCAAAUCAAAUUGGUGGCUAUAUUCCAGAAUCUAUUUGCAAACUUGAAUGGUUGGUGUAUCUGGAUUUGUCGAACAAUAUUUUGGAGGGUGAAAUUCCCCAAUGUUUUGAAAUCCACAACAUACAAUUUUUUAUACUCAACAAUAACAGUUUAUCAGGAAAAAUGCCAGCAUUUUUGCAGAACAACACAGGUCUGAAGUUCUUGGAUUUGUCAUGGAAUAAGUUCUCUGGAAGAUUACCUACAUGGAUAGGAAAGCUGGUGAAUUUACAUUUUCUGAUACUGAGCCACAAUAAUUUUUCUGAUAAUAUUCCAGUUGACAUAACUGAGCUUGGGUAUCUUCGAUACUUAGAUCUAUCAGGCAACAGCUUCUCUGGUGCAAUACCUCAGCAUCUGUUGAACCUAACAUUUAUGAGAACAUUACAACAGGAAUCAGUUGGUAUGGAUGGUUCUGUUGAAUCUCAUGGAACCACAAACUUACGCACUAGCAGCAUACUGAAUGUUGAACAGCUAGGACAUAUAUUGUCAGUACAGACAAAAGGGCAGCAGCUUGUAUACUUAUUUGGCAGAACACUUGCAUAUUUUGUGAGCAUUGAUUUAUCAUGCAACUCCCUGACUGGUGAAAUUCCUACAUACAUCACUUCGCUUGCUGCACUAAUGAAUAUGAACUUAUCAUCAAACCAAUUGAGUGGAGAAAUUCCAAGCAUGAUUGGCACCAUGCAGUCACUGGUAUCUCUUGACCUCUCUCAGAACAAGCUUUCUGGUGAAAUCCCAUCGAGCUUGUCAAAUCUGACAUCUCUGGCCGCCCUGAACCUGUCCUACAACAGUUUGUCUGGAAGGAUACCCUCUGGCCGCCAACUUGACACCCUCAAUUCGGAGAACCCGUCACUUAUGUACAUCGGCAACAAUGGACUUUGUGGGCCUCCUGUCCACAAGAAUUGUUCAGGAAAUGAUCCUUUCAUCCAUGGCGAUCUCAGAAGCAGUAACCAAGAAUUUGAUCCACUGACGUUUCACUUUGGUCUUGUGCUGGGAUUUGUGGUGGGGCUCUGGAUGGUGUUUUGUGCACUGCUGUUCAAGAAGACAUGGAGAAUUGCUUACUUCCGGUUCUUCGACAAGGUGUACGAUCAUGUCUAUGUAUUUGUGGUUGUGAAGUGGGCAGGCUUCGCAAAGAAAACAGAUGAAGAAUAA
rnacentral:rRNA from 1 species